GGACGGGUGAGUAACACGUGGGCAACCUGCCUGUAAGACUGGGAUAACUCCGGGAAACCGGGGCUAAUACCGGAUAACUCUUUUCCUCACAUGAGGAAAAGCUGAAAGAUGGUUUCGGCUAUCACUUACAGAUGGGCCCGCGGCGCAUUAGCUAGUUGGUGAGGUAACGGCUCACCAAGGCCACGAUGCGUAGCCGACCUGAGAGGGUGAUCGGCCACACUGGGACUGA
rnacentral:rRNA from 1 species